UGGGGAAUUUUGGACAAUGGGCGAAAGCCUGAUCCAGCAAUGCCGCGUGUGUGAAGAAGGCCUUCGGGUUGUAAAGCACUUUUGUCCGGAAAGAAAUCCUUGGCUCUAAUACAGUCGGGGGAUGACGGUACCGGAAGAAUAAGCACCGGCUAACUACGUGCCAGCAGCCGCGGUAAUACGUAGGGUGCAAGCGUUAAUCGGAAUUACUGGGCGUAAAGCGUGCGCAGGCGGUUUGCUAAGACCGAUGUGAAAUCCCCGGGCUCAACCUGGGAACUGCAUUGGGUGACUGGGCAGGCUAGAGUAUGGCAGAGGGGGGUAGAAUUCCACGUGUAGCAGUGAAAUGCGUAGAGAUGUGGAGGAAUACCGAUGGCGAAGGCAGCCCCCUGGGCCAAUACUGACGCUCAUGCACGAAAGCGUGGGGAGCAAACAGGAUUAGAUACCCUGGUAGUCCACGCCCUAAACGAUGUCAACUAGUUGUUGGGGACUUCAUUUCCUUAGUAACGUAGCUAACGCGUGAAGUUGACCGCCUGGGGAGUACGGUCGCAAGAUUAAAACUCAAGGAAUUGACGGGGUCAAGCUGUUUCCU
rnacentral:rRNA from 1 species